UCCGGUGCGGCGGGGGGAGGCCCGGGGCUCGGCGCUGAUACACCGGUCUUUAUCGGCUUCGAAAGGACUGCGGAGUGAGUGUCGUCAGCUCCCAAAUGCUUCGGCAGCAGUCAUCAGCAAGCUGCUGGGACAUCAGGAAGACCCUGGACGUGAAGAAUAAAUGAUGGUCUGGUUGCUGAAGGUUGCCACGUUGGCACAGAAUCACUUAGGUUGGAAAACACCUCUAAGAACAUCGAGAGUGCAGCUCUCUCAAAGACAAAAUAAGAGUUUAAAACCAGUUCUGAUGUAUUUUUGUAACUGCUGUGCUACUAACCGGUAACCACGUAUCUAUGUGUGUAUUCUGUAUGCUUAGUUAAGGUUGGUAGUUUAAUGCAAAACAGCACUUCCGUUCCUUAACAUCAAAGCAACCUUCUGCGAGGCGUGUAUAACAUAAGAAUGCCUCUCAGUUAAAAUAUCUUCAGAAAAAUUCAAAAAUAUUUUGAAAGGAAUUUGUUUGGAAAUGGUUAGGUUAUUAUCUAAGAUUAGAUUAUUCUCUCUCAAGGUUAUCUUCUCUGAGUUGGUUUGAGCUGAAAGUAGUGGAAUGCUGACAAAUAAGAACCGAAAGUAAACGUAGAUAAGUCUGUGUGGUAUUUCUUCAGUCUUUUCAUUUAAAAACAUCAGGAAUAUAUUGUUUUCAGUUUCACCAGCUAAAGCUGUAGGCAGUUUAUGGUAUCCAGAGCCCUGCCACUGCCUGCAUUGAGUUGGUGGAAACACAUGCACUCCCACUUCCAAGAGGCACUAAAAGCUCAGAGGUGAUUGCUGUAUUCUCUUGAGCUGCCUACAGGUGUGCAAUAGAAAGGGAAGAUCAAUCAGAUCUCAGAGAACAUGUGGACCACUUGCUUGAUCCGUGACCUCUCUGCAGCAGCUGUUUUCAAGCAGCACAUACAAGUAUUUGUGACAUGGCUUUCGGCUCAGUACACUCAGGCCAAGAUGGGCUCCCAUGUCUGCCUGAUGCUGAAAUAUCGGAAGAUGAGGAAAAAGGACCUGUAAGAGCUUUCACAAGGAUGUAUUUCAGUCCAUCUCUAGGUGACCAUAGGUGGUGACAUGAAUCCAAAGGGAGUGUUCAGUCUCCUCUGCCCAUUCCAUGCUUUCUGCUUCAUCUAAGAACAUCUCACUAUUGACAGAGCCAAAGCCAGCCAGCUCCAAGAUGGAUGUGCCACUGGCCAAGAUCCUGCCAAUCAGAAAUGGUGGUAACAUCUCUGUGAUAACCGGUUUAAGAAGGAAAAUAGAAGUGCAGAUAUAACUGCAGUCAGAGAAGAGCCAAGUGAGAACCUGUGAGAAGAACAACUCUGCAGACACCAAGGUCAGUGCAGAAGGAGGGACAGGAGGUGCUCCAGCAGGUGCUGGAGCUGAGAUUCCCCUGCAGUUCAUGGUGCAGACCAUGCUGAAGCAGCUGUAGCCCAAGGAGGAUCACAGGGAUGCAGAGACCCACCUAAAGCCUGUGGAGGAGACCCACACCUGAGCAGGGGGUGCCUGAGAGGAGCUGGGACCCUGUGGGAGGCCUGUGCUGGAGCAGGCUCCUGGCAGGGACCUGCAGACCUGGGGAGAGAGGAGCCCACAGCAGAGCAGAUUUCCUGGGAGGACUUGUGACCCAUGGGGGACCCAGGCUGGAGCAGCCUGUCCUUCAAGGACUGCACCCCGUGGAAGAGUGACCCACGCUGCAGCAGUUUGUGGAGGACUUACCCAUGGGAUGGACUCACAUUGGAGAAGUUCAGGGAGAGCUGUCUCCUGUGGGAGGGACCCCACACUGGAGCAGGGGAAGGAGUCCCCUUCCUGAGCAGUGGGAGAAACAACAUGGGAUGAACUGACCAUAAACCCCAUUCCCUGUCUCCACGUGCUGCUGGGGGGAGGGAGGUAGAGCUGGGAAGGAGGGAGGACUGGGAAUAAGGUGUUUUUAAGAUCUUACUUUACUUCUCAUUAUCCUGCUCUGAUUUUGUUAGUAAUAAAUUUAGUUAGUAUCUCUAA